GUUGAAACACCAGUUCCUGUAAGCUCACUGAAGUUAAGCAAUGUUGGGCCUGGUCAGUAGCUAAUUGGGUGACUGUUUGGGAAUACCAGGUGCUGUAAG